rnacentral:lncRNA from 1 species
GCAGAAUGUCCCACUAGCAGCUGGCUCUCCCCUGCACACUGUCCAGGCCCCAGGGACCUGUACAUCUCUUGCCCUGAGUCCCCAAGUCAAAAGGCAGAUGCUGUCAGGGUUUAAAAUCAACACAUAAAAAUCAGUAGCCUUUCCAUACAGUAGCAGCAUCUGUCCCCUGCCCCCAAACUGAGAAAACGAUCCCAUAUAUGAGUGUCAUAACAUAAAUAUAAGACUGGCUUCUUAUGUGUCACUUAUGAUUAAUACUACACAACUGCAUAUAUGGGAUGAUGUGUGUAUACGCAUUCACAAACUCACAUCCGGUGAGAGGUUAACACCAAAAUAAAAGAGACUCAUGCAACUCAAUAGCAAAAGGCAGUGCAGCUUGAAAAUGGGCCGAGGACCUACAUAGACACUUCUCAAAAGAAGUCACACCAAUGGCCAACGGGCACGUGAAAAGUACACAGUGGUGCUCACUGGGAGGCAGGACUUAACCACAGGGAGAUGGCACUCCUCGCUGUCAGGGCGGCUGUUACGGGAAGGCCAAGAAGGCCAGAGACACUGCUCGGCAUGUGGAGAAAGGGGACCCUGCCAGGCCACUGGGGGGACGCCAACUGGCACGGCCAGCAAGAGAAACAGCCUGUCUGUCCCCCAGAUCUACAGACAGCGCCCGUGACCCUGCGGUCUCACUCUUGGGCCCACUGCCAAAGGAAAUGAAACCAGGAUUUCCAAGGGACAUGGGCACUCCUGUGCUCUUUGCACUGUUCAGGACAGCCAGGAUACGUGGUCAGCCCAGGCAGCCGUCCAUGGAUGACCGCACAAGGAAACGGCUCAUCUGCACAGUAGAAUGUUAUUCAGCCUUGAAAAAGACGGUGCCUGUCACUAUUACCACACAGAGGAACCUGGCGGCUGUGACACCAAGAGAGCAAGGCCAAGGCACCACGUGCUCACUCCCAGGCACGUCUGAGAAAGCAG